rnacentral:rRNA from 1 species
GAUGAACGCUGGCGGCGUGCCUAAUACAUGCAAGUCGAGCGAACGGACGAGAAGCUUGCUUCUCUGAUGUUAGCGGCGGACGGGUGAGUAACACGUGGAUAACCUACCUAUAAGACUGGGAUAACUUCGGGAAACCGGAGCUAAUACCGGAUGAUAUUUUGAACCGCAUGGUUCAAAAGUGAAAGACGGUCUUGCUGUCACUUAUAGAUGGAUCCGCGCUGCAUUAGCUAGUUGGUAGGGUAACGGCUUACCAAGGCGACGAUGCAUAGCCGACCUGAGAGGAUGAUCAGCCACACUGGAACUGAGACACGGUCCAGACUCCUACGGGAGGCAGCAGUAGGGAAUCUUCCGCAAUGGGCGAAAGCCUGACGCAGCAACGCCGCGUGAGUGAUGAAGGUCUUCGGAUCGUAAAACUCUUUUGUUAGGGAAGAACAUAUGUGGAAGUAACUGUGCACAUCUUGACGGUACCUAAUCAGAAAGCAACGGCUAACUACGUG